rnacentral:lncRNA from 1 species
CCCACAAUGAUUUAUCAUUAUUUAAUAAUUCAUAAUUUCUCACCGGAAAUUUUUAGUUUAGCAUACUUCAUAUUAGUGAUACUUCUCUUUUCAAUGUUGAAAGAGAUUCCGAGAUCGAACUCUUCUUACUGCUCAUAAAAAGAACCACUAAUGCAUAUAUCUUCAUAUUAUAAACAAUAUGCAUAUAUCUUCAUCUCCACUACAAUUACUAAAAACCAUAUACAUAAACAUAAAGACAUGCAUUUAUACAUCAAUUUUGUUUCAAACAUAAGUCUUCUCAAUUCAGCAGGUACAAUACCAAAUGAGAUUGGCAAUCUUCAAAAUUUAGAGACUUUGACAUUUGGGGAUAAUAAUCUCAAUGGCCUCGUCCCAGCCACAAUCUUCAACAUAUCCAUGAUAAGAGAAAUAGGGCUUUCUGAAAGUUCUAGGAUGGUACUAGUUUAACCUAAAGGGGGUUGAAUAGGUUCCAAUUUAAAAGUCCAAUUCAAAUUUCAAUUUAAUUUUCAGUUCUCAAAUUAAUCCACAUUCACAUCACAUAUAAACUAUCCUACACAUAUGCAAUUAUAAAGAUAAAUAAAAUGUGCACACGGGAUGUAGGAUUUUACGAGGCAAAACCCACCACUGGGAAAAUCCUCGGGCUUUGCUACUCGAUCUUUCUUCAGUCUUGUCUCCGCGCUUUGCUACUCGAUCUUUCUUCAGUCUUCGAGUUGAAGUGGCACGACACUAACGCAGCCGUCAAUCACUUUUCCCUCGAACUUUGCAGGAUGCUAACUCGAUCAUGCAGAAUGUUUAUAUGAUGAAGUGUUUGUUUGAAAAACAAUCAAUUACGAAAAUCACAAAGCUCAUUUCCAUAAUUGAUAUUCAAUUUAAAACCUCAAGAAAACCAGCAUGAAAAAUAACAUUUUCUAUUAAAAACUCAUGCCCUUCGAACCACAAGCAACAGCCGUAUUUAAAUUGGUUUUCAAUGCACACAAAACCCAAACUGAUGUUUCUAACAAUUCUAUUCAAUAAAAUCAGUUUUUCAUGCUUAUUUGGCUCACCUUUUCACGUUCCUGACUUCCCAUAUAUAUAUAUGCAAAAGCAUUGACCCUUUAUCCUUUAUCUGAUAAGUACUACAAAGCAAUCCAUGUAGUUUAACAAUUCUACCAACAUGCAAUCAGAUAACUCCUCAUGCAAACAGAUAAGAUUUGAAAACAAGUUUUGAAAAACCAGUUUUAUCACACGGUUUGAAAGACAUGAUAAUUUGAUUCUAGAAAAGUAAAACACACAAGAAUAAAAGUCCUAACCCAAAUACAAUAAUAUAUGGAUAUGGAUGAAUGUAGUUGGAUGCAUGCAUGCAAACGUACCUGAAUGAUUAUCGCGUUUUGGUAACAUCUUCGCAUUGAAAGUGUGAGAAACCUCCCUAGGCUAAAACUAUUACAAUUGUAAAUAUGUAACAAGUCUAAGCUAUUACAGACUCAGGCAUUUUGUCAGGGAUUGCCAAUUUUACCCUAACAAUCUCCCCCUUUGGCAUUUCCUUGACAAAACCCUCUAUCACAGUAUUACAGACAACUAAUAAACUUAACGAUCAUGCAUAACAUUGAAGUCUGUAACCUGCACACACUCAAACAAGAAAACAUGUGACGUACAAAAGAUAUAUGCUGCUGUAAAUGAAAGCAUUUAUCUAUAACAGCAAGCAACCAAAAACAACCAGGUUUUCGAAAUUCUACUUCUCCCCCUAAAUAUAGGCUUCCUACUUCUCCCCCUUUUUGUCUAGAAAGGUCAAAGGCCUUAGAGUUAACCAUCAGGUGCAGUCAGCGGAAGAUAAGUGGAACAUAACAAAAUGUGAUGGAGAAAGAUUUCCUUUAUGUGAACUAGAACUGCUUCGGAAGAAUAAAAGUGGGAACGAAAUUGGGAGGGAAAAGAAUACAAGUGCAAUAGUCGAAAGAGAAACAUGAAAAGGAAUGCAACUUUCAUAUUGUUAAGCUCCCCCUAAACAAAUGCUUUAAAAAAAAUAUAAUGAAAUGCGCACGCAAAUGAUAUGAUUUUUUUUUUAUUUUUUAUAAUUGUAUGAGAAGCAUAUAAUUGUUCCAACAAGAAUGAAAGAGUGCAAAAACACAUGUAGUUAUGAAUCCUCAUUCACAACCUAACAUUGUCCCUAAAACAUAACAUGUAUGAGUGUAGUUGCAAGUAUAGCCAAAAGUUGAUACUACAUAAAUGUAAUUAAGUCUUACAUGACCAACUUAACUUUAACCCUUAAGCUCACAAGAUAUACGCUCGAAUUUUCAUUCAAAGUGUUUGGGGGUAAGUGUAUACGCUCAAAAGAUCAUUACAUGAAUGCUCUACCAUAGGCUUGCAGAUUGAUCUCAUCUCCACACAUCAAAAAUUAACUUAUUUGAAUCAAGUAGGUCUUUGUUAAGGGUGUAAUGGGGCUUCAGGUACUCGGUUAAAGAAAUGAAGGAUAUAGGAAACACAAAGUCUAAGAAACUAAUAGAGUAGUUGGAAAUGAAACCAAGAGAGAAAUACAGCAACGAACCAGGUAACUUAGCACUCAAUUGAGCGGUUGGAUUUGAGACAUGAACGACAUACAACCGCACAUUUAAGAUGAUUCUUGCUCUUCAUUUAUGCCAACACACUUGAUUUCUUAUAAUGCUGGCAGCUCACUCGUGAUUCAUAGUGACUUAUUUUCCUCUUUUCUUCUUUUGCUCUUCAUUUGUAGUUGGCAUUCGUCACAAAAUUUGCAUCUUCAACCUUUAAAUAACCUUGAACACUCUCCUUUGAAAAACGUACUCUACUAGCUUCUUAGUAGGGUAGGGAAUUUUUAAUAUAAGAGGCUAGGUAAGGAAAAUGUAGGUUUAAGAACAAAAGGCUUACAUAUAGGCUCAAAAGGGCUAACUAGGGGAAAACAUGUAAGGCACUGGCAUAUAUGGCAAUGAUGGUAAGUCCUAAUGCCUACUAUCAUCUCCAAAAUAGAAUAAUAUAUGAUACAAAGUUUUGAGAGGUCUCAAAGCAAGUUCUAGAGAAGAAAAACACAUAAGAUCACACACAUGAAAAAAAUUAAGAGUGUAUGAAAAAUGCACACACUAUAUUUAGGCACAAAAGCUCACAUGGGUGCGGGUUUUACUCAAGUUAAACAUGUUCAACUCAUUAUCAUUGAUAUAUUAUCAACAAGAGGCUAUUGUCCACAACAGAGUCAAACAUAUCAUGCUAGGGUCAUGUUAUCAAGUGAACAAAGCUAGAACUCAUAUGAAAUCAUACUUUUCCAUUUUUCCUCAUACAUUUAUUUUUUUAUUUAUUUUUAUUUUUUAUUUUUUAUUUUUAUUUUUUUAACAAAAAGAAAGACAAAAAUGCAGUAUUUAUGCUAUAUGAACAUGCAAGCAAACAUUAAUGAAAACAUUUGCAAAGAGAGAGCUUAGUCAAUAUAAACAACUUGAAGGUGGAGAUAAAUUGUCAAGUACACCACUUUGAUUCUCUUUUCUUCUCCAAACUUGUCUCACUUUUGGAACUACUGUACUUGGAACAGAUAUAAUUCUUGCAAUCCGAUUAAUCUCUUUCAAAUAAGUCACAAAUUGUUCCUUAAUAUUUUCUUUUUCAAAGUUCCUUGAAACUUUUUCUUGAGAAGAAUUUUUCUUUCUAAGCUUAUUGCACUUAGGCCGGAUGUGACCAGGAAUCCCACAAAGAUGACAUAUAGGAAUGAACUUCCUAGAUUGUUUGGGUUUGUUAAGAUUAAUUGAAGUCUUAACAGGAUUUGACACAUGUGCAAAGAUUGUAGAUGUUUUGGGAGUAAGACCUAAACAUUUAUCGUCAUCUACUUUCAAACUAGGAAUAUCAGAGGCUUUGACAAAUCUGGUGACAGAAGAGGAACUUGUAGUCUUUGUAGACUCGAAUCCUAGACCUCCUUUGUCUCCAAAACUUUUUCCAUAGCUAAGCAUCUUGUCAAUUUUCCCCGAACCUAUGCUCAACUCCUGAACUUUUCUUCUCAUCUCAACCACUUCGUCCUCAAGAGCUUUCUUAUCAGACGAGAGAGUGUUAAUUGUGGUUUGUAGAAUGUGAAUCUUCUCUAACAACGACUCUCGCAGUUUCUCUCCAUUGUCCAACUGAGAUUGAUGCUCAACUUCAGCUUCUUUCUUUUCACUUUCAACAAAUACAAGUUUCUUCUUCAAGUUAGAGUUAUCCUUUUUUACUUGCACACUGAUGUCAUAGAGAUCAGAAUAUUUUCUCAAGACUUCUUCCAGGUCAGGUUCUUCAACAAAUGAACCUUCUGUGUCAUAUCCAUCAACAGUUCCUAUAAACGCAAUCGUAUCCUUCUCAGAUUCCGACGUAGAUGCAUCCCCUGAAUCACUAUCGCUCCAAGUGACCUUCAUUGCCCUAUUCUUUUUCUCUUCUCUUGAUAGUGUUUGCACACUCAGAAGCAAUGUGUCCAUAGCCUUGACACUCAUGGCACUGAACCCUAUUGUUAGAACUCCUAUGUUCACUAGUUCUAGAUGAUCUAGAGGCUUUGUAAUGUGAGACAUCUAGAGAACGAAAGUUUUUUGAGUUCGAACCUGAGUUGGUUCGUUGCUCACGACCCUUGGAAUUUUGAGACUUGAGAAACCUUCUAAUUUGCAUGGUUAAUUCAACCAAUUCAUCUUCGGACAAGUCUUCAAUUGAGCCAUCACUUUCUUCUUCUUUGACAGCUUUGAGAGCAAUACUUUUCAUCUUCUUGGAAUCAGGAAGCUCUAACUCGUACGUUUGCAGAGACCCAAUCAAUUGCUCAAGCUUGUAGGUGUUUAGAUCUUUCGAUUCCUCAAUCGCUGUCCUCUUAGCAUGAAACCUCAUAGGAAGUGAUCUUAAGAUCUUUUUCACAAUCCUAUGCUCAGGAAUACUGUCACCAAGAUUGUGACAGCCAUUGACAAUUACGCUAAGCUUAGCAUAAAAGUCAGAGAAACUUUCAUCAUCAGACAUUGUGAUAUUUUCAAAUUUUGUGAUGAGAUGUUGAAGUUUGGAUUCUUUAACAGUUGAGUUACCCUCAUGAGUAACUUCAAGAAUGUCCCAAGCUUCUUUCGCCGUUGUACACUUACUUAUGUAAUUGAAUUGUUCAGGCGAAACUGUUGUGAAUAAAGAAUUCAAAGCCCUUUGGUUAAAAGUGCUAGAGCUACGCUCAUCAUUGCUCCAUUCUUUCCUAGGCUUAAGCUUAGAUAUAGACACAGAGGACUCUCCUUUAUCUUUAGUUUCUUCAAUCGUUGGAGGUUCCCAACCUUCUUCAACAGCAAGCCACACCUUGUCAUCUUGCGCCCAUAAAAACGAUUUCAUUUUUGACUUCCACGCAGCAUAGUUGUCACCAUCAAAAUGUGGUGGAUGAGAAACUGAACUCAUAGCACGAUUCAUCCUAGACUACCCACGGAUCUCACUAGGUAUUUUUAGUGACCUGCUCUGGUGCCAAUUGAAAGUUCUAGGAUGGUACUAGUUUAACCUAAAGGGGGUUGAAUAGGUUCCAAUUUAAAAGUCCAAUUCAAAUUUCAAUUUAAUUUUCAGUUCUCAAAUUAAUCCACAUUCACAUCACAUAUAAACUAUCCUACACAUAUGCAAUUAUAAAGAUAAAUAAAAUGUGCACACGGGAUGUAGGAUUUUACGAGGCAAAACCCACCACUGGGAAAAUCCUCGGGCUACCAAGCCAGGAAGCACUA